ACGAAUCCGUCAAACGACACGUGGACCAGGUGUUGCGCGCUUUGAUUGACGCAAGGUGGUCGCUAUGCCAAUAGAUUCACACCAAUUCUCACCUUGUUCGACAAAACAGCCAACACAUUUCCGGAUUCUUUAAGAUCUAGCCUAUCGAUGCGAGACCGAACCGAAUUUUUCUGGUAGCACUGGUAGCACCGGGCCCGAAAUCUACUGUCUGAAUAGGUUUGGGGUACCUUUUGCUGGGGGUGUAUGUUUGAGGUAGUUUUUGGUGGGGAGGCAAUAUUGAAUACUGUUAAUGUAAAUGCUGUCUAUACGGAAAUACUGUCUGAGUAGAUUUGAGGUAGUUUUUGGUGGAGAGGCAAUAUUAAAUACUGUUAAUGUAAAUGCUGUCUACACGGAAAUACUGUCUGAGUAGGUUUGGGGUAGUUAUGGUGGAGACGGCAAUUAUGAAUACCGUUAAUGUACAUACUGUCUGAGUAGAUUUGAGGUAGUUUUUGGUGGGGACGCAAUAUUAAAUACUGUUAAUAUAAAUGCUGUCUAUAUGGAAAUACUGUCUGAGUAGGUUUGGGGUAGUUUCUGUUGGGGCGACAAUAUUGAAUAUUGUUAAUGUAAAUGCUGUCUAUACGGAAAUACUGUCUUACUAGGUUUGUGGCAGGCACAAACUCAUACAUUUUUUCGAAAUGUAUGAACGAAUUCUCAUACAUUUUCCAAUAUUUUCAUUUGCCAUAAAUGUAUAAACAUCCGCAGUCUAGUUGUGUGUAUUACUAGUGGUCUCGCCAUUAUUAGUGUAUUAUAUUGAA